AUUCAGUCCAACACCUUCGCUGAUGGUCUUGAACAUUUUUAAAACACAGUAGGCUUUUAAGCUUAAGCCAGGGUGGAUUGUAAAGGAAAUACCAACCAUGUGGUGAAACAUCCCAAAUGCCCUGCACCGUUUAGGGAUAUUCCAGGAGGGUGCCUUGGUACCAGCAGUGAGGAGAAGGGUGAGGAGAAGCUGGGAAAAGCUGCACUGAAGUCUACUCAAUGUUCAUGCUCACAUCAUCUUGACCCAAGGACCAAGCUGAGUUAGUGGUGAUCCGGAGGAACUCUGCCCCACCUGGUGGCCCCUUAGUAUGAGGAUGCUGACAUCGCGGCAUGAGGUUUCGGUUGAAGGUUGAACAUAGUACAAAGAGCCCAACAGAUGCUCAACAGCUCAAAAAUAUUGCUCUGCCCACAUUUCCUUAGCCAAAUGAGCUCUCUGAAGGACAGAGGGUCAUCCUGUUUCAAUCUCCAGAAUAUGCUUUCUCCCAUGGAAGUGAACUAAAGAGCACUAUCCAGAAAAAAAUCAGGACUCAUCCGUGGGAGGUUCCAGGGCUCAAAGACGUUUGGCAGCAUUGCUGAUGCAGACAUUCAAGUCAGAAGACCAGAUCUUGGCUUAUCUUCAAGGAGAGUGAGUCUUAGCCCAUGACAUACACAGCAUAGCAAAGCCCACCAAACUACCUGAGGGUGGACGCACACCCACGCUCAGCUCAGGAGAAUGAUGUGGGAAAGAUACCCGUCUGGCCAAAGAAGCAGACACAGGGAGCUUCCAAAAACAAACAAAAGUUAUAUUUGUUUUUUUUUUAAAUAAGUAUCCAAUUUUUCAUGUCAAUAAAGA